rnacentral:lncRNA from 1 species
GCCGCCUUCCCCGCCGCGCGCCCGGAUGUGAGGUGGCUGCAGCGGUGCCGGGCGAAAAAGAAGCAUCGCCGCGCGCUUCCCGGACGCCAGCCCCUGCGCGGGCCGGGGGGUGGGAAGGUGGUGGCGGCGAGGAGGAGGCCACGGUGGGGAUAGCGGAAACCCGCUCCCGUGCGCGCAGGCGGUCGCCGUGGGCAGCCCAGAGGCCACCGCCGCCGCGUUCCCACGCGCGCUGCAGGGCAGAGCGGACGGCACUUGGGACCCGCGACUCGCGGCACGCCACUCUCCCGGAGGCGGUGGCUAGAUGGGGCUGGGCUGGCGGCUAGCACGGCCUGUGGCGCGACGACCGCUGUAUUUGCAUGGUUCGCAUAGGCAGAGAACCGUGGGGCUUCGGCAGUGGGAAUUUGAGAUAGGAGAUUGGGGUCUUCCGAGCCUUCCCAGUGCGGGUUCGAACCUCAGCUGUUUUGCGAGUGGCGUGAUCUUAGGCAAAGCUGACUUAACCUAAGUUUCGGUCGUGUUUCUAAAAUGGCCUCUGUAAAUCUAUGAGGCUUAUGCGCGAGUACUGGUUGCUGCAUUAAAAGACAAACUUGUCACGAUUGGCUUUGAUAGCGAUAAAGGCGACUAACAAAUUCAUUGAAAUGUUGUUUCCCUCCGGUAACCUGAAUCUGUCCUUAGCCUGCACAGAAAGGGGAAGUGCGAGUGGAGUUGGGGAAAUGAGACGGCGAAUGUCAAGUGCUUACCACGUAGUGCAGACUCAGGCUGACAGGGGGCCACAGAAAUGCAAAUAUGUGAGCAGUGUGGGUAACUGCAUCCUGGGGAGGAAGUCCUAUGUGCUGGAAUACCACAAGCACCCAUUUCUGCCCUGUGGUACUGCGCAGCGUUGGUGUGAAGCGAUACAUAGGCGUGAAGUCCCGAGAACGCAAUUUUCCUGGUUAAAGGACAGCAACGUCUACAUUUCUUCCAAGAGGCCUACUUUGUUGGAACUUCACUUCACUUGUGAAAUUAGGGUGUUGGGCAGUGAGUGACCACUAACUCAGCUCCCUUCUUGUGAAUCUUGGCAACAGAAAACUUUUCGUUUGUAUUACUGAAUAAAGUGUGUUUCUUACAAACUGUUUUUUUACAGGCAAGAGGCAGAGGGAAACACUUGCACAUCAGGCCUGAGUUUGCAUUCUCAUCUCUGCCACCUCCUACAAGCUAUGGAGAGUUAGUCUAUUGAUUCUUAGUUUUACCUGUGAAAUUGCGAAGAUGAUAUAACCUGCUCAUGGGGCAGUUAAGAUUAAACAGGAUAAGGUGGGUAAAAAACCAUAUAUAACCCAUAAAGCUGCUGAGCCUUUUUAAGCCUAUACAGAGACACGUUGCAGGUGAUAAUACAGAUGUUAUUAUUUUAACAAUCAAGCUGUUUUUGGAAUCCAAAUUCUUCCUAAAGCUGUGGGAAACAGGUCUAAUCCCCUUUAGUGUCUUGGAGACUCCCUGGAGUAGUGGAGAAGGCCCGUUCUUUGAAGCUGCUAAAUCCUGACCCUGCCAAUUAGUGUGAAACCUGAGCCAGGCAUUUCACCACCUGGAUCUCCCUUUCCUCAUUUUUCCGAAAGGGAUCGCAGUAUACCUACUUUUUAGGCUUGCAGAGGGAAUUAAAGAUAACAUUAAAAACA